rnacentral:rRNA from 1 species
CCUACGGGUGGCAGCAGUGAGGAAUAUUGGUCAAUGGACGCAAGUCUGAACCAGCCAUGCCGCGUGCAGGAAGACGGCUCUAUGAGUUGUAAACUUCUUUUGUACGGGGGUAAACGCAGAUACGCGUAUCUGUCUGAAAGUAUCGUACGAAUAAGGAUCGGCUAACUCCGUGCCAGCAGCCGCGGUAAUACGGAGGAUUCAAGCGUUAUCCGGAUUUAUUGGGUUUAAAGGGUGCGUAGGCGGUCGGAUAAGUUAGAGGUGAAAUCCCGAGGCUCAACUUCGGAAUUGCCUCUGAUACUGUGCGGCUUGAGUGGAGGUGAGGUAGGCGGAAUGUAUGGUGUAGCGGUGAAAUGCUUAGAGAUCAUACAGAACACCGAUUGCGAAGGCAGCUUACCGGGCUACUACUGACGUUGAGGCACGAAAGCGUGGGGAGCGAACAGGAGUAGAUACCCUAGUAGUC